rnacentral:lncRNA from 1 species
AUACCGACGCUGAACAUUAGCUAAAUUAAAUAACACUCCACUCUUGUCAUUGUGUGGCCGAAAGGUAUAUUAUUACCUUAAUUAAAUGACAAAAGAACUCUAAAAGUGAAUAAAACUGCAUAGAAACGAACAAAUUCGGCCACCCAUAAAAAAAUCCUAAUAAACUUGCACAAUAAGCAAAAUCCUUUGACAACUUGCACACUUGUAGUUCUAAUACCUGAAAUAACAGAAGCAAACACCUAUAUUACAUGUACUCAGUUUUGAUUUUUGCAGAUUGGCUGACGCUUACAAGGUUACAUUCAGCUAUCCACUUAUGUAGUUGUAUUUUAUACAAAAUUUAUACAAUGUCUUUUGCAUAUAUAUAAUAUAUAUAUAUAUAUAUAUAUAUAUAUAUAUUAUUUNNNNNNNNNNNNNNNNNNNNNNNNNNNNNNNNNNNNNNNNNNNNNNNNNNNNNNNNNNNNNNNNNNNNNNNNNNNNNNNNNNNNNNNNNNNNNNNNNNNNNNNNNNNNNNNNNNNNNNNNNNNNNNNNNNNNNNNNAUACAUAGCAAAAAAAAAUUUCACUUUCUCUCUCUAUAACCGUUUCUCUCAGCGCUCGAUUAGGUGAAUCUACUAACGUGCGCUGCUCACCGGAAUGGGAGGGCGAGGAAGACCACGGAAGCGGGUGAAUAAGGUACUGCUUACGGAUCCCAAGCUGCUCGAGGAACUGAAGAUCGGAACAGGAAGUGGAAAAUCACCAGCUGGAGGGAAUCUCCAUGGAUCUGCUGCAAAGCAUACAACAAUGGAUAAGGAAAAUCAAUCGAGCAAAUAGGAACUGGUCACGCCGAUAGCUGGGAAGGGGAAAUCAAUUGUGGAUAUGGAUGAAUCAAGCACAUGCAGGAAGGCUAACAAUAGUGAUAGUACUAAUUGCCAAGCAGGGGGUACCUCUGGGGUAAAAGAUGUGCAAACUCAGAGUAGUGGUUCUGACAAUAACAAAUCUAACAACAAGGAGAAGAAAGAUACUCAAAAGGUAGUAGGAAAUGGAAGUUUGCCAAUGGAGAAUAAAAAUACACAAACCUGGGCAAGUGUAGUUACUGUGAAACCUCCUUUUUACACACCCGAGAGUGAUAUAAGGGAGUUUUUCCAAUUUAAGUGACAUUAUUCUAAAAUGAGAUUAUUUAUUUUUUUCAGAGUCGCCACUUGGGAAAGGUUUGGCUUUUAGUGUCCCAAGUCACCGGUUUAUCUUGAAUCCCAAUUCGGGGAAAAUAUUCGACUUUCCGAAUGAAGUCUGCGAACCAGAAAUUCUAAGUAAGGAAUUCUGUUGACCCGAGGGAAGGUGUUAGGCACCCCCGAAUCCCGUGGUUCUAGCACGGUCGCUUACAUUGUUGUAAUGGCUAAAUAUCUGAUUUUUAUACACGUUAUAUCUUGUGUGCUUUUAUUAAGUUUAAACCGCUUUUAUUAUUAUUUUUAAUAGAAUUGCAACGUCGUAAAAACGCAUCUCGAACCACGUCACAAUCAAUGCACCCGUGGUUGUUAAUACGUUUCGACUCCGUUGAGAUUUGGAUUUAGGUCGCAUAAAUGCGCACCCAAGUUUAGGAAAGUAAUAUUAUUAAAAUCGCCUAAAGAUACUAACACGUUUGCAAGUUACGAGGGCCAUGAAAUUUACUAAAUGGCACACCUCAAAUUCUAAGGAUUAAACGACACUUUGACUAAAAGCGAGGGCCAAGAUUUCGUUAUUUUUUAAUUAGUAUGGCGCGCCUCGAGCAAACUACGAUAUUCAUGAUUUGCUCCUUGCCUAAGCAAUACGUGAUUCGUUUAAGCAAAUAUGGUGCGAGAUAUUUCAUGCAAUAAUCUUUAUCUGGUCAGAAUAAAUAGACGAAUUCGGACCAACAUCUAAACAAAAUUGACACACUGUAUAUAGUAUUGCAUAAGAUACUUACCCAAUCUUAAUAAAGCGGCUUGAGAAUAAGGGCUUUUUUUUAGUGAAAGAAAAAGCUUUUAUUGGGAUUAAACUAAGUUAUAUGUCAAAAAAUAAAAAUAAAAGAAAAAUUAAUAUACAAAAUCUUCUAGUAGUUGGUACGUACUAUUUUUGACCCAAAAAUAGAAAGAAAUGAGACUAGGCUUUUAAUCACCUCUAUACAACUUCAAUCCUUUCUUUCUUCUUAGUUUUGCCAAUCCCUUUUUUCACAUGAGAACAGAUUCUUGUGGUUGCCAUGAAAAUAUAUCGGUUUACAAUGGUGAGAAGUGAGUUUUGUCCACUGAAAUUCAUGCCAUCAACAUUUAAACACUUCUAGAAAAUAUUAAAUCUCAUGUACUAGUCAAAUAAAAAAUAUAUAGGAAAAAGUCAUUCUUUUCACCUUGGAUGCGGUACUUCAAUGCAACAAACAAGCAAUAUUAGAUCAAAUGAAAUUAAAAGAGGGAGACCCAUGGAUAGCAUGAUAAAUCCAUUAACAAGAAAAUGAAAUGAAACCAUAAACCACAACUUAACUUCACUACAACAAUCAUACCAUCAUGAAAAUAUUCAUUCAUUUCCUAAACUCAUAAGAUUUAAGCAGAAUACUUGAUUGAACAAAACUCUAAAACAACGAGUUUAUAGAAUAGCUACAGCGUCCAACAGUCACAAUAAGGAGGAAAGUAGUUACACAAAACUAUGUGAUUUAACUCUUAAUUACAAACCCCCUUUUGGGCAGAAUACACUAAUUGAAAACUCAAAAGUACACAGUGAUAGUAUAUUAAAAGAAGAAAGGGUGUAGACUAGCUUUCUCAUUCUUAAUUCAUGAUUCAAGUUUACACCUCAAAUGAUAUCCAUAGGAUCAAGAUAUACCUGGAAAGAGGAAAACAGAGGAGGGGGGGGGGGGGGGGUGAGAUUUAGCAGACUCAGCAGCAGCAAGAAUCAGUGUUCAGCAAGCACAAAUGAACCCAGGAAUGACUAAAGAGGACCAACUUAAAACUCACAAUUUAGAACCAACAAUAUAUCAAUGGAACACAAUCAACAAAACCACACCAAGCAGGGUCCAAUUACUUGAAUGCAAACUAAAUUUAGCUCUUCAAAUUGAUGAAAACAGUUCAAGAAGAGUGAGCUAAGAGAGAUCAGACAAUCAAACUUAAACCAACAAUACAGUUUUCUGCACUUUUAUAUCAUUUCUUCUGGAUUUCUCAAUUUCCUCACUCAGGUUUUCAAAAUGUCCAAGGUUGUCCCUCUCUAUUGCUCUCCGUCAGAUUGUUAAGCUUCCUUGACCUCUCUAUUUUUCAGGGUUUUUUUUUCUUACAAUUUCAGAUUUUUUUUCUUGUGUUCUACCUCCCUUUUAUUCUGAUUUCCAGCUCUCUAAAGUGGGUAUUCCAUUAGUGCAUUUGCCACUAACAACUUAUCUUUUCAUUUUUUAAUUAUCCCACUACCCUAGUGCCUUCUUAUUUUACUAGUAAUGCCCAUUUCAAUCCCCUAAAAUCAACCAGUGCCUUUCUCGUUAUAAGUGUCCCCUCCCUUAUUAAUUAAUUAGUUAGUGCAACUUCCAUUACCAAUCUCCUUUUUCCAUUUUUUAAUUAUCUACUUGCUGAAUUAGUGACACACUAUCCUAGUGUUGUUAUUAAAAAUCAGUUGAUGAAUAGCAAGCCAUUAUGUCCAGCUAUAACUAAUUCGAGCAAACAUACGGGCAAAUAGCUAAAUGAACAACUUCAAAUCCGCGGAGAGCAACUACGAAAGAAAAAGAAAUCUUUAACUGCAGCUUCUUAACUACGUUCAAUCCACCAGCAUUUGCGCAGUAAGGGUGUAAACUAUCCAGAAAACAUGUUCUAGGAAAAGACAUAAAAUCACUCCAACAUUUCCUAUAACAAGUAUUUGGCCAGCAACUUAAUUUGAAUAUCAUUUGGAAUACCAAUGGCGCAAGUCUUAUAUUUACGGUAUCUAACUUGAUUUUCCUAAAUCAAUUAGAACAUGAAGAUUGCAAUUCUACCUUUGCACUAUAAGGUAAACGUCCAUAUUUACAACAUGACAGUAAAGUAAGAAGAGAACAUUUUCCUUUACAGAGCAACCAAAACCCAUGUAUUGGCUAUACAGGUUCAAACUUAUGCACAAAUCAAACCAUACAACUCAAUCAUCAAAACCAUGUAUAUGAAAUUAAAAGAGAUAGGAAAGAUUUGAACCAAGUGUUGCCAAUUAAUGAGAGUUUUCAACUUCACAACUUCUGGAUGCCAAAAUGGCUACAACAAGUGACACAACUGAAAUUUGAACCACAGAUGCAAAACGGACCUCAAACCCGAAACAACGAUUCUGCGAAAUGUGACUCCGAACCUCGACAGUGACUCAAAAUCAGCGAAUUCAACUCUGACUCAAACAAACUCCAUCUCGCCACUAGUGAACGCACAAGCUAGUCUCGCGGCAAGGUUAAAGCAACGUAAACAAUCCAUAAAGCAAAGAGAAAUGCUAACCCUGCCCCUGUUUCUGUCUGUUUCCUCUAUGUGGAUUAGAGAUGAGAAAAUUAGUUCAUCUUUUCGCUCUUGUUCUCUCCCUAUGUUUACGUGUGUGUGUGCAUGAUUUUCAGGCUGAACAUGUCGCGAAUUUGGUGGCUGUUCGGCAACGGGGCUGGGUGGAGUCGUGUGGUUCGUGGUUGGAGAUGGAGGAGGGAGCUGUGGCGCCGCUGGUUGAGGUCAUUUGUUGGGUGGGGAAACGAAGAAGACGGGGUUCGGAGGCGUGGAGAGGACGGUGGUCUAGGAGGUGUUAUUUGGGGGUGGUGGCUCUAAUUAGGGUUGAAGAAGACGGGGAAAUGAAAAAUGAAAUGGAGUGGGG